rnacentral:misc_RNA from 1 species
UUAGGAGCAGAAAGCAGAGCUACGAGUGCAGAAGCAAAGUGUGAAUUGUUGACUAAAACUAACACGGAGCUAAAUCAAGAGCUUGGUUCUCUUAGGAACAGUGGAACUGAUAAAGCAAAUACUUUGGAGAGGAAACUAAGGGAAUCGGAUACCCAGUUAGAGCAUGCAAAAGCUUCUGUUGAAGCAAUUGAGGAGCAGCAGAA